GGUUCCAUGGUGUAAUGGUUAGCACUCUGCACUCUGGACUCUGAAUCCAGCGAUCCGAGUUCAAAUCUCGGUGGGACCU